rnacentral:tRNA from 1 species
GGGGAUUUAGCUCAGUGGCAUAAGCGCCUGCCUUUUAGGCAGGAAGUCCUGAGUUCAAGCCCCA